GACGAACGCUGGCGGCGUGCUUAACACAUGCAAGUCGAACGGAAAGGCCCUGCGUUUGUUUGGUGCUCGAUUGGCGAACGGGUGAGUAACACGUGAGGAACCUGCCCUUGACUUUGUGAUAACUUCAGGAAACUGGGGCUAAUACCGGAUAGGAUCUCCUGCUGCAUGGUGGGGGUUGGAAAGUUUCGGCGGUUGGGGAUGGACUCGCUGGUUAUCAGCUUGUUGGGGGGGUAGGGGCUUACCAAGGCUUUGACGGGUAGCCUGCAUGAGAGGGUGACCGGCCACAUUGGGACUGAGAUACGGACCAGUAUCCUACGGGCGGCAGCAGUGGGGAAUAUUGCACAAUGGGCGGACGCGUGAUGCAGAAGCGCCGCGUGCGGGAUGACGGCUUUCGGGUUGUAAACAGCUUUCGAAUGUGCCGAAGAGUGAGUGACGGUAAUGGGUAAAGAAGCACCGGCUAACUACGUG
rnacentral:rRNA from 1 species